rnacentral:rRNA from 1 species
GACGAACGCUGGCGGCGUGCUUAACACAUGCAAGUCGAACGGAAAGGCCCUGCUUUUGUGGGGUGCUCGAGUGGCGAACGGGUGAGUAACACGUGAGUAACCUGCCCUUGACUUUGGGAUAACUUCAGGAAACUGGGGCUAAUACCGGAUAGGAGCUCCUGCUGCAUGGUGGGGGUUGGAAAGUUUCGGCGGUUGGGGAUGGACUCGCGGCUUAUCAGCUUGUUGGUGGGGUAGUGGCUUACCAAGGCUUUGACGGGUAGCCGGACUGAGAGGGUGACCGGCCACAUUGGGACUGAGAUACGGCCAAGACUCCUACGGGAGGCAGCAGUGGGGAAUAGUGCACAAUGGGCGGAAGCCUGAUGCAGCAACGCCGCGUGCGGGAUGACGGCCUUCGGGUUGUAAACCGCUUUCGCCUGUGACGAAGCGUGAGUGACGGUAAUGGGUCAAGAAGCACCGGCUAACUACGUG